rnacentral:misc_RNA from 1 species
ACAGAUGAGGGCGAUUAUCAGGUAAAACUGCGCAACCUGACUCGCUUCCUCGAGGGAGGUGACAAAACUAAAGUCACCGUUCGUUUCCGUGGCCGGGAAAUGGCGCAUCAGGAAAUUGGAAUUGAAUUGCUAAAUCGCAUUAAAAAGGAUUUAGAAGAAAUUUCAGUACUUGAAUCGUUCCCAAGACGUGCUGAGGGUCGCCAGAUGAUUAUGGUGCUGGCCCCUGCUAAGAAGUGAUUGUGGUCUACAAGUAGGCAAGCGUAAGCGAACCUCACCCUGUCACACUUUUAUUAACAAUGCGGAGUCAUAUUUUCAUGCCGAAAAUUAAA